UCACUGAUAUGAAGAGCUUGCUCGGAUUUGAAGAUGAACAUUGCAAAGAGUGGCGAACGGGUGAGUAACACGUGGGAAACCUACCUCUUAGCGGGGGAUAACACUUGGAAACAAGUGCUAAUACCGCAUAAUACUGAUAACCGCAUGGUUAUCAGUUGAAAGAUGGUUCUGCUAUCACUAAGAGAUGGUCCCGCGGUGUAUUAGCUAGUUGGUAAGGUAAUGGCUUACCAAGGCAAUGAUACAUAGCCGAGUUGAGAGACUGAUCGGCCACAAUGGGACUGAGACACGGCCCAUACUCCUACGGGAGGCAGCAGUAGGGAAUCUUCCACAAUGGACGAAAGUCUGAUGGAGCAACGCCGCGUGUGUGAUGAAGGGUUUCGGCUCGUAAAACACUGUUGUAAGAGAAGAAUGACAUUGAGAGUAACUGUUCAGUGUGUGACGGUAUCUUACCAGAAAGGAACGGCUAAAUACGUGCCAGCAGCCGCGGUAAUACGUAUGUUCCAAGCGUUAUCCGGAUUUAUUGGGCGUAAAGCGAGCGCAGACGGUUGUUUAAGUCUGAAGUGAAAGCCCACAGCUUAACUGUGGAAGUGCUUUGGAAACUGGAUAACUUGAGUGCAGUAGAGGAGAGUGGAACUCCAUGG
rnacentral:rRNA from 1 species